rnacentral:rRNA from 1 species
UUGCACGCUGGCGGCAUGCUUUACACAUGCAAGUCGAACGGCAGCGCGGGCUUCGGCCUGGCGGCGAGUGGCGAACGGGUGAGUAAUACAUCGGAACGUGCCCAGUAGUGGGGGAUAGCUCGGCGAAAGCCGGAUUAAUACCGCAUACGACCUGAGGGUGAAAGCGGGGGAUCUUCGGACCUCGCGCUAUUGGAGCGGCCGAUGGCAGAUUAGCUAGUUGGUGGGGUAAAGGCCUACCAAGGCGACGAUCUGUAGCUGGUCUGAGAGGACGACCAGCCACACUGGGACUGAGACACGGCCCAGACUCCUACGGGAGGCAGCAGUGGGGAAUUUUGGACAAUGGGCGAAAGCCUGAUCCAGCAAUGCCGCGUGUGUGAUGAAGGCCUUCGGGUUGUAAAGCACUUUUGGCGGGAACGAAAAGGACUGUGCCAAUACCACGGUUCGAUGACGGUACCCGCAGAAUAAGCACCGGCUAACUACGUG